AUUAUACGCAACGAGUUGAGAGCAUUUGGUGAGAGCAAAACGGGGGGACUUUUGAGAUACUCAGAAACGGCUUGGGGUCGCAACGACACUUGCGGCGCUAGGUGGAUUCUCUUUCUCUGAGA
ensembl:ncRNA ZC64.7 ncRNA